AGAGUUUGAUCCUGGCUCAGGAUGAACGCUAGCGGCAGGCUUAACACAUGCAAGUCGAGGGGUAACAGGGUUUAGUUUACUAGAUUGCUGACGACCGGCGCACGGGUGAGUAACGCGUAUACAAUUUACCUUUUACAGGAGAAUAGCCCAGAGAAAUUUGGAUUAAUGCUCCAUGGUAUUAUGAAGUGGCAUCGCUUUAUGAUUAAAGAUUUAUCGGUAAAAGAUGAGUAUGCGUCCUAUUAGUUGGUUGGUGAGGUAACGGCUCACCAAGACAGCGAUAGGUAGGGGUCCUGAGAGGGAGAUCCCCCACACUGGUACUGAGACACGGACCAGACUCCUACGGGAGGCAGCAGUGAGGAAUAUUGGGCAAUGGAGGCAACUCUGACCCAGCCAUGCCGCGUGCAGGAAGACAGCCCUAUGGGUUGUAAACUGCUUUUAUAUAGGAAGAAACUUUUCCACGAGUGGAGAGCUGACGGUACUAUAUGAAUAAGCACCCGGCUAACUCCGU
rnacentral:rRNA from 1 species